AACGAACGCUGGCGGCAUGCCUAACACAUGCAAGUCGAACGAGACCUUCGGGUCUAGUGGCGCACGGGUGCGUAACGCGUGGGAACCUGCCUUUAGGUUCGGAAUAACUCAGAGAAAUUUGAGCUAAUACCGGAUAAUGUCUUCGGACCAAAGAUUUAUCGCCUUUAGAUGGGCCCGCGUUGGAUUAGCUAGUUGGUGGGGUAAAGGCCUACCAAGGCGACGAUCCAUAGCUGGUCUGAGAGGAUGAUCAGCCACACUGGGACUGAGACACGGCCCAGACUCCUACGGGAGGCAGCAGUGGGAAUAUUGGACAAUGGGCGAAAGCCUGAUCCAGCAAUGCCGCGUGAGUGAUGAAGGCCUUAGGGUUGUAAAGCUCUUUUACCUGAGAUGAUAAUGACAGUAUCGGGAGAAUAAGCUCCGGCUAACUCCGUGCCAGCAGCCGCGGUAAUGUAGUCGUGU
rnacentral:rRNA from 1 species